rnacentral:rRNA from 1 species
ACUACCAAGAUUGAGUUGAGCAUUAAGAUUGCACUGAGUUGAUGUUAAUCAGGAGAUGAAACCUAGCUAAUAAAAAUUAAAGUUAAAUUAAAAAAAUAAAAUUUUUAUGUUGAUAGAGAGAUUUAAGACAUGGUUUAUUGAAUUGAGAGAGGUGUGUAAAUUAGAUGAAAAUAAAUUAAUGUACCUUUGGUAUCAGGGUUUAUAGAAUUUUUAAAUCAUUGUGUUGAUCCCGAAAAGAGAAUGAUUUAAUUAAACGGGUUUAAUUGUAGCAAAAAUUUUAAAAAUUUUAAUUAGAAGUGAUAAGCUUAUCGGAUGUCUUGAUCUGGUUUCUUAAUUUUGCUUUAGGCUAAUUUUCUUAAUGAAAUUUUAUAUCUAUAAAAGAUUAGUUUUAUAGAAGACCACUAGUGAGAAAGUAAAUUUUUAUUUCAUUUGUUUAAGUAAGAUUAAAUUAAAAAUUUUUAAUUUUAGCAAUUAUUAUAAAAUUAAUAUUAAAAGAAAAAUUUUGGGCUCUAACUCGACAAAAUUAUCAAAACCUGUUUACCAAAAACAUGUCCCUCUUCUUUAAAAUUUUGGGUCGGCCCUGCUCACUGAAUUUUUAAAGAGCCGCUUUGGUGUUAAAGUAGCAUAAUCAAUUGUCCUCUUAUUAAGGUCUAGGAUGAAAGGGAGGAUUAUUGAUAAAUUAUAAACACUAAAAUUUAAAAAAUUAAAUUUUAAUUCAUAAUGCUUAAGAUAAUCAAAGGGACGAGAAGACCCUAGGAUCUUUACAAUUAAUUAAUUAAUUGUUUAGUUGGGGAAAUUAGAAAAAUAAACUUUUCCAAAUAAUAACAUUAUAGAUGUUUAUUUAAGAUUAAAAUAAAUUAAAGUAAAAUUACCCUAGGGAUAACAGCGCUAUAACAAGUUAGAAGAUCAUAAAUUUACUUGUGAUUGCGACCUCGAUGUUGAAUUAAAGUUUAAGGCCUGGUAGUUCAGGCCUGAUUUAGUCUGUUCGACUAGUUAACUUUACAUGAUUUGAGUUCAGACCGACGUAAGUCAGGUUAGUUUCUAUCUAUUUUAUUUCACCCAGGAGUACGAAAGGAGAAUGGGGAGAUGAUGAAAUU